CCUACGGGAGGCAGCAGUGAGGAAUAUUGGUCAAUGGACUUACGCCUGAACCAGCCAAGUCGCGUGAGGGAAUACUGCCCUAUGGGUUGUAAACCUCUUUUGUCAGGGAGCAACGCCGGCUACGUGUAGCCGGACUGAGUGUACCUGAAGAAAGAGUCUCGGCUAACUCCGUGCCAGCAGCCGCGGUAAUACAGAGGAUGCGAGCGUUCUCCGGAUUUAGUGGGUUUAAAGGGUGCGUAGGCGGAAUGCCAAGUCAGCGGUAAAAUCGCGGGGCUCAACCUCGCUCCGCCGUUGAAACUGGGGUUCUUGAGUGGGCGAGAAGUAUGCGGAAUGCGUGGUGUAGCGGUGAAAUGCAUAGACAUCACGCAGAACUCCGAUUGCGAAGGCAGCAUACCGGCGCCCAACUGACGCUGAAGCACGAAAGCGUGGGUAUCGAACAGGAUUAGAUACCCUUGUAGUC
rnacentral:rRNA from 1 species